CUUCCGUAGGUGAACCUGCGGAAGGAUCAUUGUCG
rnacentral:rRNA from 1 species